GGGUCAGUAGGUUGGUCGUGCCACCGGUACGUACUGGUCUCACUGAUUCCUCCUUCCUGAAGAACCGUAAUGCCAUUAAUUUGGUGUUGCGGGGAAACAGGACUGUUACUUUGAAAAAAUUAGAGUGUUUAAAGCAAGCUAACGCUUGAAUACAUAGCAUGGGAUAAUGAAAUAGGACGAUCGAUCCUAUUUUGUUGGUUUCUAGGAUUGACGUA
rnacentral:rRNA from 1 species